GAUGUGAUUUCGUGUGGAUUUAGGGCUUUGCAUUGUGGCGCUAGAAAGGGCAAGGUCUGCUGUCAAUCUGUGCAUUGGAUCGUUUGUUUCUCAAGUUUGGAAGGUUUGCUCUGUGGAAUAUUGAAGUAAUUCAUCCAUUUGCAUCGCUGAUUCCUGUUUUAGAAUGUGAUUUAUGAGCCAAUUUAAUGCUUGGUGAAUGAUUUGAGGGGAAUGAAAACCCUAGCUUUGGUUGCCUUUUGAUUCCAGAUAAGCUUCUUCUCGUUUGUUUUCUGUGAGAAAGGUGGAGUUUUUUCUUCAAAGAUUUGGCCUUUGUGCUCCUGGUGGUGAAAUUUGAGGAGAAUUAUAUUCUGGUUUUGAUUUCUGUAUGCUGUUUGAGCUCUGAUUGGAAUAGAAGAAAAGCUAGGAUUUUUUUUGAAUCCUUGAGAGUUGGGAAAUGGGAAAACCUACUACAAAGAAGAAGAAACAUGUAGGGUUGAACAUAAGUGACACUAGUUCCAAACAUGGCAAACAAUCAGAGCACAGUCCCAGGAAAGUCAUGGAUGCAGACACUAGCAUCUUUGUGGACAUGUCAAAUGAGAUCAAGGAGGAGGGGAACAAGCUGUUCCAGAAGAAAGAUUAUGAAGGUGCACUGCUCAAGUAUGAGAAAGCUAUCAAGUUGCUUCCGAAGAACCAUGCUGAUGCUGCGUAUCUCCAUAGCAACAUGGCUGCUUGCUUUAUGCAGAUGGGUCCUAAGGAAUAUCCCCGAGCAAUUAACGAAUGCAAUUUGGCUCUGGAGAUUUCACCAAAGUACACUAAAGCUCUAUUGAAGAGGGCAAAGUGUUUUGAAGCUUUGAAUCGAUUGGACUUGGCCUACAAAGAUGUUGAGGUGGUUUUAGAAUCGGAGCCGAACAACCUCACUGGGUUGGAGAUUUCUGAAAGGGUGAAGAAGGGGCUUGAGAAAAAAGGGAUCAAACCGGAGGAAAUUGCACUUGUUCCGUCGAUGGAACCUCUAGUGGUUAAAGUGAAGCCGAAGAAGAAGAAGAGUCAUAAGACCAGGGACAAGAUGAUUGUGAAUGAGGAGAAGCAUAGUGCUGCCAAGGAAGAGCCUCAUAGGCUUGUAAAAUUGGUCUUUGUGGAGGACAUUAGAUGGGCUCAGCUACCGCCAAAAUGUAGUAUAUUGCAGCUGAGAGAGAUUAUUCGGGGCAAGUUUCCAAAUUUGAAAGCCAUGCUUGUCAAGUACAAGGAUAACGAGGGUGACUUGGUGACCAUCACUACAUCCGAAGAGCUUAGGUGGGCUGAAGAAUGUGCCGAAUCACAGGGUUCACUUAGGCUGUUCAUUGUAGAAGUUAGCCCUGAACAGGACCCGCAUUUUGAUGAAGAGAAAAGUGGUGCUGAAAUACAAGGGUCAGAGAGGAAUCCUACCAGUGCUUCUGAGAAUGGUAGUUCCAGGCAUGAAGAGGAGAAAGUUACAUCUUGUAUUGAAGAUUGGAUUGUGCAAUUUGCUCUACUUUUUAAGAAUCAUGUGGGGUUCAACUCCGAUUCUUAUUUGGAUCUCCAUGAACUUGGCAUGAAACUGUACACAGAGGCUAUAGAAGAAACCGUCACAAGCGAAGAAGCCCAGGGUAUCUUUGAAAUUGCUACAGACAAAUUCCAGGAGAUGACGGCUUUGGCCUUGUUUAAUUGGGGCAAUGUUCACAUGUCUCGGGCACUUAAAAGGUUGUUCUUUCAAGAAGAUUCUUCCAAAGAAUCAGUACUUACUCAGGUAAAAAGUGGAUAUGAAUGGGCUCAAGGAGAGUAUGCUAAAGCAGGAAGGAGGUAUGAAGAAGCUCUGGAGAUCAAACCAGACUUCUAUGAAGGCUAUCUUGCACUUGGACGACAACAGUUUGAGCAGGCAAGGCUUACUUGGUAUUUUACCAUUGGAAACAAGGUGGAUUUGGAUAACUGGCCUUCAUCUGAAGUUUUAGAGCUAUUUAACAACUCUGAGGAUAGCAUGGAGAAGGGCAUUGAAUUGUGGGAGGAGAUGGAGGAGCAACAAUUGAAAGGACUUCGGGACUCUAACAAGGAUACCCUACUGAAGGAGAUGGGCUUGGAUGGGCUUUUCAAAGGUCCAUCUGCAGAAGAAGCUGCAGAGGUGGCAUCUAACAUGAGGUCUCAGAUAAAUCUCUUUUGGGGUACCAUGCUCUAUGAGCGCUCUACAAUCGAAUUUAAAUUAAGUCUUCCAACUUGGGAAGAUUGCUUGAUGGCUGCAGUAGAGAAGUUCAAACUUGCAGGAGUCCCCCCAUCAGAUAUUGCUGUUAUGAUUAAAAAUCAUAGUGCCAAUAAAACCACUGAAGAAGGGCUUAGCUUUAAUAUUGAUGAGAUAGUUCAGGCGUGGAAUGAGAUCUAUGAUACUAAAAGGUGGAUGAGUGGUGUUCCAUCUUCCCGACUUGAACCGUUAUUUAGGCGGAAGGUCCCAAAAUUGCAUAAUGUACUGGAGACUUUGUGAUUCAUACAAGGUAAUCACCAGCAGUCUUGCGUCCAACUUAAUUGAUUUUGCUGAGAGGCAUUAUCCUUUUUGUGCUCCAUAGUCUGAGUAGUACCAGUUUAUAUUUGCAAUAGGAAAUCGGUGAUACUUUCGACAGUUUUGCUGUUGCUAUUUGAAGUGUUUGUUUGUUUGCAUAGUCAUUCAUUCUGUCAGUGUGCCAUGAAUUUUGCAGCUUGUUUUGAUGGAUUUUGUUCGUCGAAAUACGGCAUAUCAAGCUUGUGAACUCUUUAUUAUUAUUUUUAUUUUUUUGUCAAAUACUACUUUUGUAGUAUCAACUGUUGUUAUGAUUCAGAUAUACCAAUUAAAAAAAAAAGAAAAAAAAAAGUUGCUUGUGAGAUUGAUACA